rnacentral:tRNA from 1 species
GCCCGCAUAGCUCAACUGGAUAGAGUGUUGGUUUCCGAAACCAGAGGCUACAGGUUCGAUUCCUGUUGCGGGCA